rnacentral:rRNA from 1 species
GGAGUUAGCCGGUGCUUCUUCUGUGAGUGAUGUCCUUCCUGCCGGCUAUUAACCCGCAGGCCUUCUUCCUCACUGAAAGUGCUUUACAACCCGAAGGCCUUCUUCACACACGCGGCAUGGCUGGAUCAGGGUUGCCCCCAUUGUCCAAUAUUCCCCACUGCUGCCUCCCGUAGGAGUCUGGGCCGUGUCUCAGUCCCAGUGUGUCUGAUCAUCCUCUCAGACCAGCUACGGAUCGUCGCCUUGGUGAGCCGUUACCUCACCAACCAGCUAAUCCGACAUAGGCUCAUCCGAUAGCGCGAGGCCCGAAGGUCCCCCGCUUUCCCCCGUAGGGCGUAUGCGGUAUUAGCCUGGGUUUCCCCAGGUUAUCCCCCACUACCGGGCAGAUUCCUAUGCAUUACUCACCCGUCCGCCGCUCGCCACCAGGGAGCAAGCUCCCCGUGCUGCCGCUCGACUUGCAUGUGUUAGGCCUGCCGCCAGCGUUCAAUCUGAGCCAUGAUCAAACUCUGA